UAUUUAACGGCCGCGGUACCCUGACCGUGCAAAGGUAGCAUAAUCAUUUGCCCUAUAAUUGAGGGCUAGUAUGAAUGGUUUGACAAGAGCAAUACUGUCUCCAUAAAACUUAAUAAAAAUUAUUUUUUAGGUGAAGAAACCUAAAUUAAAUUAAAAGACAAGAAGACCCUAUCGAGCUUAAAAUCUAUUUGUAAAAUAAAGAAAAUCAAUUGAUAUUUCUAAUUGCAGAAAAUUUUGGUUGGGGCGACUAAGGAACAAAAAAAGCUUCUUUUUAGACUAAAAAUUUAUAAAUGAUGAUCCAUUAUUUAAUGAUUAAAAGAAUUAGUUACCGUAGGGAUAACAGCAUAAUCCUUUUUGAGAGUUCUUAUCGAAAAAAGGGUUUGUGACCUCGAUGUUGGACUAGAAUUUCCUGAAAGAUGCAGAAGUCUUCGAGG
rnacentral:rRNA from 1 species